UUAAAUUGAAGAGUUUGAUCAUGGCUCAGAUUGAACGCUGGCGGCAGGCCUAACACAUGCAAGUCGAACGGUAACAGGAAGCAGCUUGCUGCUUCGCUGACGAGUGGCGGACGGGUGAGUAAUGUCUGGGAAACUGCCUGAUGGAGGGGGAUAACUACUGGAAACGGUAGCUAAUACCGCAUAACGUCGCAAGACCAAAGAGGGGGACCUUCGGGCCUCUUGCCAUCGGAUGUGCCCAGAUGGGAUUAGCUAGUAGGUGGGGUAACGGCUCACCUAGGCGACGAUCCCUAGCUGGUCUGAGAGGAUGACCAGCCACACUGGAACUGAGACACGGUCCAGACUCCUACGGGAGGCAGCAGUG
rnacentral:rRNA from 1 species